rnacentral:tRNA from 3 species
GCCGAGAUGGCGGAACCGGCAGACGCACCGGUCUCAAAAACCGGCGAGGUUGAUCCCUCAUGAGGGUUCGAGUCCCUCUCUCGGCACCA